rnacentral:rRNA from 1 species
GAUGAACGCUAGCGGCAGGCCUAAUACAUGCAAGGCGAAGGGGCAGCAAUGUCACUGUCGUACGGGUGCGUAACGCGUAUGCAACCUACCUAUCACAGGGGGAUAGCCUUUGGAAACAGGGAUUAAUACCGCAUAAAGCAGGGACACCGCAUGGUGAUAUUGCUAAAGAUUUAUCGGUGAUAGAUGGGCAUGCGUCUGAUUAGUUAGUUGGCAGGGUAACGGCCUACCAAGACGAUGAUCAGUAGGGGGCGUCAGAGCGUGGUCCCCCACACUGGCACUGAGAUACGGGCCAGACUCCUACGGGAGGCAGCAGUAGGGAAUAUUGGGCAAUGGAUGCAAGUCUGACCCAGCCAUGCCGCGUGCAGGAAGAAGGUCCUCUGGAUUGUAAACUGCUUUUAUCGGGGAAGAAUAGUUUUCUUGCGAGGGAAUGUGACGGUACCCGAUGAAUAAGCCACGGCUAACUACGUGCCAGCAGCCGCAGUAACAC